rnacentral:lncRNA from 1 species
CUCUCCUGUAUGAGAUCCUUUAUUCCUGUUUUGCCGUCCUCCUUUGUGAUUAGAAGAUUUUCUCUAAUGUGAGAGAAUGUUCAGGAGAGAAAAUCAGAAAUCUACAUUUGAAAAGUAUCCCACUAACAGAAGUUGAUCCAAGACAGAGAAGAAGAUACAUGGAGCUUAUUUGGGAGGUGCACUGAUAAAAGAUUGCAGACAUGAAAAAAGGGAAGAGAAGAAACUCUUUUCAAGGUUUCAGAAGAAACUACCUUAAUGAAGAAACAGAAGGGAAAGACGUGAAAACCUCCAGAGUUCUUCAGAAAGGCUUCCUUUGCAUAGAAUCGUUCAUCAAUUUCAACAGUAACAGAAAGUAACGGAAACGUGAUCUGAAUGAGUAGCUGAAAAUUGAGUAGUAACUUAACACUCCAUUGAAGUUUUUCAUCAGAUAUGGGGCACAGCUUGACCCUCGUAUUAUAAAUAUUUAAAUGCUUUGGAUAUUUUGCCAAAGUUUAAGCAUUUCUUCCCAAAGGAACAGUGGUGAUAUAAUGUGAGUCAUGCUAAAGUACUUAACCAUCAGUGGGCAGAUUUUGUGGCAUGAAUUUUUGUAAUGAUUUUAAGUAAGACCCGGUAUAUUCACAAAUAUCCAAAACUUUAUUUAGAACUGUAUGGGAAGCUAUUCUAUCUAAAAGCUCAUUCUUAUUAAAAGUAUUUUUUCAGGAAAUAAAAUGAUGUUAAACCUGGAAGUCUCCAGCAAAGAGACUGAUUUUUUUUUAGAUGCUCCCAACUCAGUAAAUUUUGCUUUCCUAUUUUCUUAUUUUUGUACGUAUGCCACUGAUGUCUAGCUUAUACACUUCUGUUAUAUUUACAGCUGUUUACAACCAUUGAACCAAAAGUUCUAUACCUGUUGAAUGUCUAAAAGUAGAGAAAAUUAAUUGAAAAGCAAUAGGUUAAGAAUCAACCUGUGGUCCCAAGAAAAAGAAGUAAAAUCCUAUAAAAUUCUUAAAGCAUUUCCUCUAUAAAUAUUUGAAAGUUAUUUAAUCUUUUGGUCUUUAUAGUGCCUGGAUUGACAUUCUGCAUUAACUAUGGAAUCAUUUUUAUAAGGAAUAUUUUGUGAUUUGUAUAAGAAAAAGUAUUUCUCAAUGGCAUAGGAAGAGCUUUGCUAACUCUUAGAAGAAAGAGGGAAGAGAAGAGGGAAGGAAACAAGUAAAACGAACUGGUGGUACAUCGUGUAUUAAGAGAUAAUACAAGGAUAUCAUACUAUAAUGUUUUCAGACAAAAAUUAUGGACAGGCUAAUUCGUGAAAUAAGAUGAAGACCUAAAAGGUAGCAAUGAUCCUAUACACUAUACUCUGUAACAGUUGUUUUCAAACUGCUUUUUAAACAUAAAAACAAUUUUAAAUCCACUAUUUUAGCACAUUCUGGUCUUAUAUAGUAAUUACAUGGCUAUAUUUUUCCAGUGUGACAUAUUUAAAAUACAUAUCAUUAAAUUUCUGGUUAAUCUUAAACAUGGAAAUAAAGUACGAAAUUUCUAGUUGUUGAAGUAUGUUUAAAAUAAAAUAUAUUAAAAUAUCA